CCUACGGGAGGCAGCAGUGGGGAAUUUUGGACAAUGGGCGCAAGCCUGAUCCAGCAAUGCCGCGUGAGUGAAGAAGGCCUUCGGGUUGUAAAGCUCUUUUGUCAGGGAAGAAACGGUGAGGGCUAAUAUCUCUUGCUAAUGACGGUACCUGAAGAAUAAGCACCGGCUAACUACGUGCCAGCAGCCGCGGUAAUACGUAGGGUGCAAGCGUUAAUCGGAAUUACUGGGCGUAAAGCGUGCGCAGGCGGUUUUGUAAGUCUGUCGUGAAAUCCCCGGGCUCAACCUGGGAAUUGCGAUGGAGACUGCAAGGCUAGAAUCUGGCAGAGGGGGGUAGAAUUCCACGUGUAGCAGUGAAAUGCGUAGAGAUGUGGAGGAACACCGAUGGCGAAGGCAGCCCCCUGGGUCAAGAUUGACGCUCAUGCACGAAAGCGUGGGGAGCAAACAGGAUUAGAUACCCUGGUAGUCCACGCCCUAAACGAUGUCUACUAGUUGUCGGGUUUUAAUUAACUUGGUAACGCAGCUAACGCGUGAAGUAGACCGCCUGGGGAGUACGGUCGCAAGNUUAAAACUCAAAUGAAUUGACGG
rnacentral:rRNA from 1 species